CGGUAUACACAUUUUCUCUUUCUUAUCAUUUUCAAUGUAUCGCUUUUUUCAACUGCUUAUUUGACUCUUAUGCUUUCUGUCUUGUCAUUUCACUGUUCUCAAUACUUAUCAUUUUCACUUAUUAUCACUUUUGCCACGUUCAUCGUCUUUCAAUACCAUUUUUUGUGUAUGUUAGAUUAUCAAUUCGAUAAUAUUUUCAAAUUUGGACGUUUUUUCUUUAUAUAUCUAAGUUUGUUUUUAUAUGGAAUUAGAUUUUUCCAUCAUUUUCAAAUUGUAGUUUUCUAUGCACUUUUUUUGGGGGUUUUAGGAAAGGAAUGGUGUUUUUUUUUUUUUUUAAAGAUUGAAUUGAGUGAGAAUUUGGUAAACACAAGUUUGAUUUGGAUGAAAUUGAUUUUGUAA